rnacentral:tRNA from 1 species
UCGGAUAUGGUGUAACGGCUAACAUUGCCGCCUCUCACAGUGAUCUGAAGCUAUUCGCGGCAGCUCGGGGUUCGAUUCCCCGUAUCCGAA